AGUGCGAGAGAGGGAGGUAGAGGCCACGGGUAGCGGGGAAAGGCGUAGAGAUGUGGAGGAAGACCGGUGGCGAAGGCGGCCGCCUGGCUCGACACUGACGCUGAGGUGCGAAAGCGUGGGGAGCAAACAGGAUGAGAUACCCUGGGUAGUCCACGCCGUAAACGAUGUCGACGUAGCCGUUGGGGAACUUGAGUCCUUGGUGGCGCAGUUAACGCGAUAAGUCGACCGCCUGGGGAGUACGGCCGCAAGGGGAAAACGCAAAGGAAGUGACGGGGGCCCGCACAAGCGGUGGAGCAUGUGGGGGAAGGCGAGGCAACGCGAAGAACCGGACCAGGCCGUGACAGCCGUGGAAGCCGGCAGAGAGGCGGGAGGGCCGGUCGGGAAGCAAGGGACAGGGGCUGCAGGGCGGGUGGCAGCGUCGGGGUCGGGAGAGGGGGGGGGUAAGGUCCCGGAACGAGCGCAACCCCGUGGUCCGGUAGGUGCCAGCGCGGUAAGUGGGGGGAACGUCGUAAGGAGACUGACGGGGACAAACCGGUAGGAAGGGUGGGGACGACGGUCAAGGUCAGUCAGGGCCCGGUACGGCCGUGGGCGUACACACGGGCGUACAAGGGAACGCACAGAGGGCAGCGACCCCGCGAGGGGUGAGCGAAGUCCCACAAAACGGUGUGGUAGGUCCGGAGGGGAGGUGGCAACGUGACGUCCAGGAAGGUGGAAGUCGNGUAGGUAGUCGCGAAGUCAGCCCGUCCCGGUGAAUACGGUUCCCGGGCCGUGUACACACCGCCCGGUCACACCAUGGGAGGGGGGUGCGUCCAGAAGGGGGGUGGUGUACCGUGUCGGGGG
rnacentral:rRNA from 1 species